GCUUGCUUUGAAGGCAUGUUUCCUAGGCUACACACUGAGAACUUGUUCUUUAUUCUUCUGCCUAGGGGGAAGUCAUCAGACCUUGGGCAGAGAGUGCCUGCCAUGUGCUCAUGCACACAGAAGUCUCUGGCCUGUCAUGGUUAGCCAACCAAGAAGCAAUCCUAUGAGAUUUUUCAAAGCUGUUCCUUAUGUGAGUAGAAAAUGUUAUUCUUUAUUCAGCUUCUCAUUUCUGUGUCUCUUUACUUAUGUGAAUCUAUCUUCCAAACUUGAUCAUGACGAG
rnacentral:lncRNA from 1 species